rnacentral:rRNA from 1 species
UGGGGAAUAUUGCACAAUGGGCGCAAGCCUGAUGCAGCCAUGCCGCGUGUGUGAAGAAGGCCUUCGGGUUGUAAAGCACUUUCAGCGAGGAGGAAGGGUAGUGUGUUAAUAGCACAUUGCAUUGACGUUACUCGCAGAAGAAGCACCGGCUAACUCCGUGCCAGCAGCCGCGGUAAUACGGAGGGUGCAAGCGGUAAUCGGAAUUACUGGGCGUAAAGCGCACGGAGGCGGUUUGUUAAAUCAGAUGUGAAAUCCCCGCGCUUAACGUGGGAACUGCAUUUGAAACUGGCAAGCUAGAGUCUUGGAGAGGGGGGUAGAAUUCCAGGUGUAGCGGUGAAAUGCGUAGAGAUCUGGAGGAAUACCGGUGGCGAAGGCGGCCCCCUGGACAAAGACUGACGCUCAGGUGCGAAAGCGUGGGGAGCAAACA